CCUACGGGGGGCAGCAGUGGGGAAUAUUGGACAAUGGGCGAAAGCCUGAUCCAGCAACGCCGCGUGAGGGAUGACGGCCUUCGGGUUGUAAACCUCUUUCAGCAGGGACGAAGCGAAAGUGACGGUACCUGCAGAAGAAGGACCGGCCAACUACGUGCCAGCAGCCGCGGUAAUACGUAGGGUCCGAGCGUUGUCCGGAAUUAUUGGGCGUAAAGGGCUCGUAGGCGGUUUGUCACGUCGGGAGUGAAAACUCAGGGCUCAACCCUGAGCGUGCUUCCGAUACGGGCAGACUAGAGGUAUGCAGGGGAGAACGGAAUUCCUGGUGUAGCGGUGGAAUGCGCAGAUAUCAGGAGGAACACCGGUGGCGAAGGCGGUUCUCUGGGCAUUACCUGACGCUGAGGAGCGAAAGCAUGGGGAGCGAACAGGCUUAGAUACCCUAGUAGUC
rnacentral:rRNA from 1 species